rnacentral:rRNA from 1 species
UACGUAGGGGGCAAGCGUUGUUCGGAAUCACUGGGCUUAAAGGGCGCGUAGGCGGGUGAUCAAGUCCGGGGUGAAAUCUUUCGGCUCAACCGGAAAAUAGCCUUGGAUACUGGUCGUCUUGAGGGAGGUAGGGGCAUGUGGAACUUCCGGUGGAGCGGUGAAAUGCGUUGAUAUCGGAAGGAACGCCGGUGGCGAAAGCGACGUGCUGGAUCUCUUCUGACGCUGAUGCGCGAAAGCUAGGGGAGCAAACGGG